CCGGGAUCGAGUCCCACAUCGGGCUCCCUGCAUGGAGCCCGCUUCUCCCUCUGCCUGUGUCUCUCAUAAAUAAAUAAAAUCUUUACGAAAAUAAAAAAUAAAUAAAAGGGAGGGUUUUUGCAGCAAACGGUCAGACUCUCCAGACACUGACCCCUCUGUGUCUGACCACUUAAGAAAGCUGCUGCCGAAGGCUCUGGAACAUUCAUCUCGGAACGGAACUGAGACCCUUCAAGUGCCAAGAGGUGACCUGGACCCGACCAAGGUCUCAACUCAACUGUGCGCCCACAGCCUUCAGACUUAAAGAGUCUGGUGAACUGCCUACCCCCGCCCCCCCGUGUUACCUUUGCUGUGUGACUUGUCUUGUGUUCUACUCCGUGUGCCACAGAAGAAGCCAAGUUAAUCGUCAGUGAAACGUCACUGAAUCUGGAAUUCUGCACCUGCUUUAUGAUUAUGCUGACCUAGAUUUAUGACUGAAUAAAGCUGACAUCGUGGAGAGACACAACCCCUGCGUGUGCCUUCACAGCACACUCAGGAACACAGAGACAGUUUAAUACCAAACAUUUGAAAGUUAACCGCCUUGAACCUUCAGAAAACACCACAAAGGGAAAGAAUCCGAGAGAAACACGCAGAGCUUCGGCGGGGCGACCUCACGGACCCACACCCCCAAAGCCCACGUAUCCGAGGGAACAAUCAACGUCCACGAGGAAGAACAAACCAACCAAAAGAGCAAUACACGCUGCCGGGGGCGGGGGGGCGGGGACCUCCAAAGGAACGUGCCAACCAAGCACGCAGGAGCUUGCAGGAGCUCAGCUGACCCAGGGGAGGCUCGGGACGGGAGAUCGCAGCGUGGUGCUGACACCAAACCUGGGCAAACUCCUCUCCGGGAAAACAAAUCCCAGGAAACCGCUGACAAUUGGCGACAAUCCAUUACAGAAACUGAAAUGGAAUCCCACACAAACGCCGGAAAAGCGCUGCCCUGCGGCGCCCACCCGGGGCGGAGCUCGGCCCCGAGGCUCCGGGCGCCCCACAUCGCGCGCGACCGGAAGA